rnacentral:lncRNA from 1 species
UUUGAGAAAUGCAUUAGAUAAUGAAUGAUAUUUAAUGCUAAGGGAAAAACAAAUAGAAAUAGAUAUAUUAUCCAUUAGUUUUAUAAAUUGGACAAGUAUUGUUGGAUAUUCCAAAAUAGAAAAAUGGACAAUUAAUGAUGAACGGAAGGAAGUAAAAGGCAAGAACACCGCGUGCAGGCAGAUCCAAAUGAGGAAUAAAGGUAGCAGCUAGGUGCAUGGACCCAAUUAAGUCCGAAUUAACCUUUGGAUUUCCAAAUGAUGUUCACAUGAUCAUGCCCAUUUGUCAUCCAUCCUCUUCAGUCGCUUGCAUGCCAGAGUACAACAUUCACAUUUCUGGUGGAUAUCAGGAAAUGGUUCUCUGGAUAAGAUGUUUGUAUCUACUUAUUUGGAUAUUUUUGCAUGUGUGUGUGUUUACGCGUGUGUUUUCAAGAUAGAGAGAGAAAUGCCCUUGUCCUUGUGGAUGUUUGAGUUUUUGAAGAAUGUUAUAUUCCCUAGAGAGCAGUGUGUGUUUGUGAUAUUGCGUGUGUUAGGUAUAAA